rnacentral:rRNA from 2 species
CAAGUCGAACGAGCUCUCCCAAAUUGAUUUUAUGCUUGCAUAAAUGAUUUUUGGAUUCGGAGCGAGUGGCGAACUGGUGAGUAACACGUGGGUAACCUGCCCCGAAGCGGGGGAUAACAUUUGGAAACAAGUGCUAAUACCGCAUAAUUAGUUGGAACCGCAUGGUUCCAACUUGAAAGAUGGCUCUGCUAUCACUUUGGGAUGGACCCGCGCCGUAUUAGUUAGUUGGUGAGAUAAAAGCCCACCAAGACGAUGAUACGUAGCCGACCUGAGAGGGUAAUCGGCCACAUUGGGACUGAGACACGGCCCAAACUCCUACGGGAGGCAGCAGUAGGGAAUCUUCCACAAUGGACGAAAGUCUGAUGGAGCAACGCCGCGUGAGUGAUGAAGGUUUUCGGAUCGUAAAACUCUGUUGUUAAAGAAGAACAAGUGUUAGAGUAACUGUUAACACUUUGACGGUAUUUAACCAGAAAGCCACGGCUAACUACGUGCCAGCAGCCGCGGUAAUACGUAGGUGGCAAGCGUUGUCCGGAUUUAUUGGGCGUAAAGCGAGCGCAGGCGGUUUUGUAAGUCUGCUGUGAAAGCCCUCAGCUCAACUGAGGAAGUGCAGUGGAAACUACAAAACUUGAGUACAGAAGAGGAAAGUGGAACUCCAUGUGUAGCGGUGAAAUGCGUAGAUAUAUGGAAGAACACCAGUGGCGAAGGCGGCUUUCUGGUCUGUUACUGACGCUGAGGCUCGAAAGCAUGGGUAGCGAACAGGAUUAGAUACCCUGGUAGUCCAUGCCGUAAACGAUGAAUACUAGGUGUUGGAGGGUUUCCGCCCUUCAGUGCCGCAGCUAACGCAUUAAGUAUUCCGCCUGGGGAGUACGACCGCAAGGUUGAAACUCAAAGGAAUUGACGGGGGCCCGCACAAGUGGUGGAGCAUGUGGUUUAAUUCGAUGCUACGCGAAGAACCUUACCAGCUCUUGACAUCUUCUGCCAACCCAAGAGAUUGGGCGUUCCCUUCGGGGACAGAAUGACAGGUGGUGCAUGGUUGUCGUCAGCUCGUGUCGUGAGAUGUUGGGUUAAGUCCCGCAACGAGCGCAACCCUUAUUAUUAGUUGCCAGCAUUUAGUUGGGCACUCUAGUGAGACUGCCGGUGAUAAACCGGAGGAAGGUGGGGACGACGUCAAAUCAUCAUGCCCCUUAUGAGCUGGGCUACACACGUGCUACAAUGGAUGGUACAACGAGUCGCGAAACCGCGAGGUCAAGCUAAUCUCUUAAAGCCAUUCUCAGUUCGGAUUGCAGGCUGCAACUCGCCUGCAUGAAGUUGGAAUCACUAGUAAUCGUG